CAUAUAAUUUUACUUAAAAUGUAAAAACUUAAAUAUCUUAGAAACAGUAGCCAACCAGUCAUUUUUAUUGUCAUAUUUGAAUUCAACAUGUCAAAAUUCAUCGUAAAUAGCACAUUAUAUUUCUGAAGCAGACAACUUCUUAAAAUUUGUACACCAGUGUAAUGCCUUUCUUUCGGU